rnacentral:rRNA from 1 species
AAUCAACGCUGGCGGCGUGCCUAACACAUGCAAGUCGAACGAGAAAGUGACUUCGGUCACUGGACAGUGGCGUCCGGGUGAGUAACACGUGGGUAAUCUACCUUCGGGUGGGGAAUAACGUCUCGAAAGAGACGCUAAUACCGCAUAAUGCAGCGGCACCUUAUGGUGAAUAGUUGUUAAAGCGGGGGAUCGCAAGACCUCGCGCCUGAAGAGGAGCCUGCGGCAGAUAGCUAGUUGGUGAGGUAAUGGCUCACCAAGGCUGCGAUCUGUAGCUGGUCUGAGAGGACGGCCA